rnacentral:rRNA from 1 species
GGAGGGGUGCAAACGUUGUCCGGAAUUACUGGGCGUAAAGGGCGCGUAGGCGGACUUGUAAGUCAGGAGUGAAAACUCAGGGGCUCAACCCUGAGCCUGCUUCUGAAACUGCAAGUCUUGAGGACCGGAGAGGAAAGUGGAAUUCCUAGUGUAGCGGUGGAAUGCGUAGAUAUUAGGAAGAACACCAGUGGCGAAGGCGACUUUCUGGACGGUACCUGACGCUGAGGCGCGAAAGCUAGGGGAGCAAACAGGAUUAGAUACCCUGGUAGUCCUAGCUGUAAACGAUGAGUGCUAGGUGGUGGUAGUUUCAACGCUUUCACUGCCGAAGCUAACGCAUUAAGCACUCCGCCUGGGGAGUACGGCCGCAAGGUUG